AUGGAGGGAUUACUACAUUGGGAUUUUGCACCGGGCAUUGCCCUAGCUGAUCAGGUGAGGCGAAGGUUUGGUUCGACAGUCCAUUUCUCACCUUCUAGAGACACCAAGGAGUUCUUUUUGGUGGUCUCCUUCUCUUCGGCUUCUUUUCCCCUCUCAGUGGAUUCUAUUGGAAUUGCCCUACAAUGUUGCAUUGGU
rnacentral:rRNA from 1 species